CCUAAUAAUACUGAAACGUGGAUCCACGAUUUUGAAAAGCAAAUUAUAUAUUUUUUCUUUUUCUUUCCCAGGGGCCCCUUUCUUGUUGGCUGAUCAGCGUUUUUUUUAAUCUGUUGUAAAAAGACACUAAAGGCUUGCGUUAAUGACAUGCAAAUAUUCUUUAAAUAUUCUUCAUACUCAUUGUAAUAUCACACAUCAUCUUAUAGCACAGAAAACAUGUAGCAGAUAUCCAGCAGACAUGCCAAUACAAAAAGCAUAUUCAUGGACAGGCAAUUAACUCAAUCCAAAAUAAAUUAAUAAAUGUCACACUCUGUGACAGACAUAAUAUAGGUUCUCAUGUUUGUGCAUUAUGCAAGUCUGCAAACUAUGCAAGCAGUACUAUUUUAAGGUUAGAUCAGAGCACCUGGCAACUGGACAGGAAAGUCAAAUUUUGGCAGGAAGUCCAUUAUUGCAACAGAAUUUUGGAAAUCAGCUAAAAUUUACAAAAACAGACUCCCU